GACGAACGCUGGCGGCGUGCUUAACACAUGCAAGUCGAACGGAAAGGCCUCUUUUGGGGGGUACGCGAGUGGCGAACGGGUGUGUAACACGUGAGUACAAUGCGCCUGUCUCUGGGAUAAAUUCAGGAGAAUGGGGCUAUAACAGGAUAGGUGUUCCUGCUGCACGUGGGGGGCGGGAGAGAUUAGGCGGUUGGGGGUGGACUGCUGGCUUCUCAGCUUGUUGGUGGGGUAGUGGCUUACCAAGGCUGUGACGGGGAGCCGGCCUGAGAGGGUGACCGGCCACAGUGGGACUGGGAAACGGGCCAGACUCCCACGGGAGGCAGCAGUGGGGAAUAAUGCACAAUGGGUGGAAGCCUGAUGCAGGAACGCCGGGGGCGGGAUGACGGCCUUCGGGUUGUAAACCGCUUUCGCUCAUGACGAAGCUGUGUGUGACGGUAGUGGGUAAAGAAGCACCGGCUAACUACGUG
rnacentral:rRNA from 1 species